GGGGCUGAGGCUCAGUGGUAGAGCACUCAUCUGGCAUGUGUGAGGCCCUAGGUUUGAUCCUCAGCACCA
rnacentral:tRNA from 1 species